rnacentral:rRNA from 1 species
GUGGGGAAUAUUGGGCAAUGGGGGAAACCCUGACCCAGCGACGCCGCGUGAGGGAAGACGGCCUUCGGGUUGUAAACCUCUUUUGUACGGGAAGAAGGAAGUGACGGUACUGUACGAAUAAGUCCCGGCUAACUACGUGCCAGUAGCCGCGGUAAUACGUAGGGGACGAGCGUUGUCCGGAAUUACUGGGCGUAAAGGGCGCGCAGGCUGUGCUGCAAGUCAGCUGUGAAAUGUCUGGGCUUAACCCGGGCAUGCGGUUGAGACUGCAGUGCUGGAGUGCUGUAGAGGCAAGUGGAAUUCCCAGUGUAGCAGUGAAAUGCGUAGAUAUUGGGAAGAACACCGGUGGCGAAGGCGACUUGCUGGGCAGCAACUGACGCUGAGGCGCGAAAGCCAGGGGAGCAAACGGGAUUAGAAACCCUUGUGUCC